AAAGUAGGCCUAGCAUCUCAGUCACCUCCUGCUGCCUGUGGAUCAGGUUGUUGAACCCUCAGCUCCUUCUCCAGCACCAGGUCUGCCUGCAUGCUGCCAUGCUUCCUGCCAUGAUGAUAAUGGACUGAACCUCUGAAACGGUAGGCCAGCCCCAACUAAAUGUUUUCCUUUAUAAGAGUUGCCAUGGUCAUGGUGUCUCUUCACAGCAAUAGAAACUAACUAAAGCACUUUCUUAAUGCGAUGGUUUCAGAUACCAGUUUUUUCCAGUCAAUGUGCAGAUUUUCUGUUUAACAGCUUUAGGAUCAUUGAAGUCUAAAAAAUAGGUCAUAAUACCUAGGGGGGUAGGGGGUGGGAGCACCAUACGACUUUAAUCCCAGCACUUGGGAGGCAUAGGCAGGCGGAUCUCUAAGUUUGAGACCAGCCUGAUCUACAGAGUGAGUUCCAGGAUAGCCAGGGUUACAUUAAGAAACCUGUCUCAAAAAAAAUUACCACCCCCCCCCUGCCAAAGUCAUAAUAUCUGGGAUGUUUUAUCUUGAUUGUCAACUGACAAGAUCUAGGGUCACCAAGGAGACAAGCUCUGGGUGUUGUGAUUAUCUAGAUUAAACUAACUGAAGUGGGAAGACCCACCUUACUUGCGCUUGGCAUCAUUGCAUGAGUUUGGGUCUUUGACUGAAUGUAACGAGAAUGCGAGGUAAGCUUCGGUCAUUGUAACUUCCCCAUCAUGAUGCCUUAAACUGUGAGCCAAGAUAAGUUUUUCCCACUUACAUUGUAUCUUGUCUUGAAUUUUGUCAAAUCCGUGAGGAAUAUAAUUUACUAUCUAGUGCAUUUUAAUUAAUGGUUUUGGAAACAGGGCUUGGCUGUGUGGCUAGGCUACCCUUGAUCUUGUGACCCUUCUUCCUUGUGCCUGAGUUAGAAAAAUUAUCACGCUAAAACAGUGGUUCUCAACCUGUGGGUCGUGGACUCUUUAGGAUCCAGUACCAGAUAUCCUGCCUAUCAGAUAUUUGCAUUACAAUUCAUAACAGUAGCAAAAUCACAGGAAGUAGCAGCGAGAUCAUUGUAUGGUUGGGGGGCUCACCAUGACAUGAGGAACUGUAUUAAAAAUGGUCACAGCAUUAGGAAGGUUGAGAACUGCUGCUCUAAAAGAAACUUCUCAAUUAGUGGCCACAUUCCAUUGUGAUUGACUCACCAGGCAUAAUGUUUUCC
rnacentral:lncRNA from 1 species